AAAAACAAGUUAUCUAUGUUGCAUAAGUUUAAAUCGCAAAGUACUUUACCACGUUAACACUAAUGGAUAAUGACUAACGAAUAGCCACGAGUUUCAUUGCGUAGCUGAGUAAAGCCAUGUCUGUCCAGAGUGUUUUGACUCGCGUAUUGUCUGAGCUUUCUCUUCAGCAAGGGAACAAAGAAUCGGCAUCCAAGUUUUUCUUAGAUUUCCAAGAUUUUAUUACUAAAAUUUAUGGAGAUAAGAAUGUAUCCGAAAAUUCUCGUUUUGACGCUAUUGAUCACUUAACCUUAUUGCAAAGUUCCAGAACUUAUAAGCGCCUACUGGAAUUGUAUCAUCCUAGUUCCUUGACCCUCAAGCAUGUUCCGCGUUAGCAGCCCAAAGAGUUGUUCUUUAAGUUGAAUAAACCAGUCGUACGUUUUAUUCUUGAAAUCAAAUGUAUAUUU